GCAGGGGUGGGUGAGUGGUUAAUACCAGCAGACUGUAAAUCUGCCGCCUUAACGGCUACGUAGGUUCGAAUCCUACCCCCUGCACCA
rnacentral:tRNA from 1 species